rnacentral:rRNA from 1 species
AGAGUUUGCUCCUGGCUCAGAACGAACGCUGGCGGCAGGCCUAACACAUGCAAGUCGAACGAAGUCUUCGGACUUAGUGGCGCACGGGUGAGUAACACGUGGGAAUAUACCUUUCGCUGGGGGAUAACGUCGGGAAACUGACGCUAAUACCGCAUACGCCCUUUGGGGGAAAGAUUUAUCGGCGAGAGAUUAGCCCGCGUCCGAUUAGGUAGUUGGUGAGGUAACGGCUCACCAAGCCUUCGAUCGGUAGCUGGUCUGAGAGGAUGAUCAGCCACACUGGGACUGAGACACGGCCCAGACUCCUACGGGAGGCAGCAGUGGGGAAUAUUGGACAAUGGGCGCAAGCCUGAUCCAGCCAUGCCGCGUGAGUGAUGAAGGCCUUAGGGUUGUAAAGCUC